GCCAGGAGGAUAGGUUGUUCAGUUUACUACCGGAGACCUGACUGUGACAGACCACCAAGAAAACAAAAUUUUCAAAGAGAGUAGAGAAGACCUUCUGCAGCAUCUGCAAGUCUGUCCUUUUUUCUUCAGAGUUACGUAGGAUAACUUAGCCAGAACUUAUUGAUGUCUGCAUGUUCAGUGGACUCGGGGAUGGACUGGGAGAUGCGGAAACGUACUCUUUGGAAGAAACAGGAGAGGAGGCAUUUCAAAGAUCCUGCAGGUGACAAAGGUGAUGAUCUGCUGACAGAAUAAAUAAAUCAUAGAAAGUGCCAAGACUGCACAGGCAUUUGCUGUGGUAUUCCUACAUGAGAAACCUUCGUCACAGUCUUUCUUCAAGUAUGUUCUCUCCUGGGGGUUCAUUAUUUUUCAGAGGAUGGGUCUUUCUGCCCUGCAGGGAUCUAUCUAUCACUGCUGACUCUCUGCAUCUUCUCCACAUGGAAGAAGUAAUUGGAUUGUAUUUUCUGCACACGACCAAGACAGCAGGGAAACCCACAGCUGUAAGCCAGAGAACCAAGCUGUCUAGAGAGCUGGGCCUGGGCCUCACCAGCAUGCCUAAUAAUGUCACCAGGAGUAAGGACAUGAGGAGAAUGAGUUGUCUCAUACCCAGAAGUGAAACAUGCCAGUACAAAGAUAAAAACCAAAAGUGACUGGACCUCAGACAAAGGAGGAGAAGGGAAGUUGUUGAGGUCCCCACACAGAUGUCUGAUUAAAAGCCCACCAAAGUGCAUUUGAAACUGUGUCACAGCUCAGCCUCUUCUCCCCAGUGCCUGUGGAGGCAGCUUCCAGCAUGACACAUCCUAUCUUUGACUCAUCAGAAGACAUGCUUCAAUUCAGCUAGAAAACAGGAACUUAGGAAAGAGCUUGAAAGUCUGUGGCAAGCCUAUAAGGACUGAUGUACAACACAAUUGUAAAGUUUAAUUCUAGACUGAAAAUCAAUGAAUAUACAAAGAUUCAUAUUUCUAAGAAAACAAAGACAUAAAUCUACAGCCAUUUUGACAAAUGAUGUGCAGAUUUCUCCUGGGGAACAUGCAAAGAAGGCCCACACCUACGGAAAGGCUGUCCCAAGAUUAUGUCACCUACAUGUAUCAUGAAGGAAUUUUCUUCUUGGCUGCUCAGAGGAGGAUUUUUAACAUUUGCCUUUCAUUUACUCCACAACAUUUCAUUUCUGAGUAACUUGUACUCCUUCACACCAUUUUAAUUUGAUGGCAUGUACGAGUAAUGCAGAGACUUUUCUUUCCUAAGGGAAAUUAAGAAAAUAAUUCAUUCUUUCGCUCAGUAACUCAACUGAAUUCAAUUUGGGUUCAUUCUUUUAGGAAAGGUGUUUACCUAAUUCUAUCAAUUAAAAUAUGGAAGGAAAAUGUCAAUGAUCCUGACCAUCUUGUCAUCACAAUUCUUAGUUCUUUCAUGCCAUGCUUCUUCCACAGAGACUUUAAUUUUGCCGAGGGAAAAGCUAACAUAAAGACUUAGAAGGCUUAAAUCACACAUCUAAUUUCUGCAUGUUACUAAAUACUAACACAUACUAUGUGCAUGGAACAAAAUUUCAGGAAACCAGUUUUCACACUGAUUUGGUUUUUUGAGCUCAUUUGUAAGGUUUUAAUUUUAUUUUGUUUUCUUACAUUUACUUCGAUAUACAUUUGCCAGAUGAAUUGCAUGCACAGAAAAAGGUGUAACAAAAGGGCAGAAGUAUCAGCUGCUUUAUGUGCUUCUAAGAGACAGAGAAAGAACAUUAUUUGGAAAUUUCUGUGGCACAGGGCCGUGCUGGCAGCUGCUGAUCUCAUUCCUAUCCCUUACAUGUGGUUGUUAACACAAGGACGCAUGUGGGAAUGGCUGAGGACUGGAGAGGCCGUGACCAAAGUGAGUAUUGAUUCUCUUUUUCCUUGGUGUGGCUGCCUGUGUAGAAAACACCAAUCGGUAGGACAGUCUGAGAGAAGGCUGAAUGAAUUAAUGGAGGAGAGGACCCUCUCAAAGCUACUGAACACACAGAAAAUCAGCCUGGCUUGGGGUGUGUCUGGGCUGCAAGUGCUUUGCAGUAGUGAGGAGAGUCUGCUUGCAAUUCUCCGGUCUCACGCUCCUCGUUCCAGCAUCAGCUCUAGGGCUUUAGCAUUAGCUGUUCUUAUUUCAUUAUGCUUUUAUUUACUGUUGGCUGGAGAGGAGGGCUGGAAGCUGCCCAGAGUGCUGGCUGCAGCCGCCGAGAGACCUCUCUUUCCCCAGGGCUGGCUGCAGCACAGAAUUGAUGGGUGCUGAGUAAAUGUGUUUCAUAUCCAGAGCAAAUUUUCCUGAGUGCCUAAAUGGCUUGAAACUGCAGGUUCUGUUGGCCAAGAUCAAGUAACUUGUUUGGGAGAUUGCUUCCAGUUAGUUUUCUCUCUUUUUGUCUCUCUCUCUGUGUUUGUGCAUUUUCAAUUAUGUAUCAUUUAGCUCCACUUUGUUUUAUUUCAGCAGGCAAGGAACAGUGAGCUUCAAAACUGCAGGAUACCUUGAAAUCUUUUAACUUCAAACAUUCUGUCUCUGAUAGAAAAACACGUAUUUCCUUUUUAAUUCUCAAUCAUGUUAACUGGUACUGGUGACUUUGUACCCACAAGCACAGAACACUAGAUGGAUAGACUGCAGCAAAACGAGUUACACGUUGUAUUUAGAAACAAGUACCUUUAAAAAAUUUACCUGUCUGCCAAGACUUGGAAAAACGAGCAAGCAAGUUCAGCUCAGUACACAGAGCAGUUCCUCACUGCCUGACUCUCCUCAUGGCUUCUGGGAAUGCCUGGCAUGUCAGGUAACACACGCUGAGCAAGAGCCAAAAAGCCUUUCUUGCUUGUAAAAAUGAAACAAACACCUUGUUGGAAAACAGCUCUUUUCAGAGGCAUUGCAGCUGUGGAUGAUGCUGUAGCCACUCUUCUCAGCCAUCAGGCAGUGCCUACCAGGGACCAGCUUUCAGCAGUGUCAGUAGGUAAGCUGUAUAACAAGGAUAGGUCCAGCUGUCCUGUGCCAGCGCAUCCUACCUUUCUCCAUUGCACAAACAACACACACUAACAGCAAACAUUUGCAUGAAACAAGCAGUGAUGAAAUAUACCUAUUUAAUUGUUCACAGUCCACUAAAUCAAGAGAGCCCCACCCUGCACUGUUUUGACCUCCAGUUCUUUCCUGACUCAUCUGCAGCUCUGCUGUUUCAUGGUGGGAGAUCUUUCAGUUCUGGCUUUGCCCUGCCUGUAGCAUCUGGUGCUGUUCUCUCCUAGUGUGACUGCUCCUGGCUGCCCUUUUCUGAGGAAAAGAGAUGAUUUUUUGAGGCUGUGGUGAUCUGGUAUGGCAGGUGCUGUACAGUCUCAGAUAGGAGGUCUUGACUAGCAGAGCUUCCUGUCUGCUCAAGAGCUCGCAAGCUGAAUGCCUUUGUAACCUCCUCCUGGGCUUGGGGGUGGCAUCAGGUGCUGGGGCUCUUUCACACUGCAGAGCUUGUAACAUCUGGCUGAUGCCAUGGGUUAUAGCAAUAAAUGACACCACACACAACAAACAUCUCCAGGGCUUUCUCCAACUUCAGUCUCUAAUCUCUCAGGCUUCCUGUGCCCCGUAUCUGUCUAUAAUGCUUUCAAAAUGACAAUCCUAGUGAUUUUGACAUGAAGGAUUCAUGUGAAGCUGGUGCUGAGGCUGGUAAGAGGCUGCCCUGACCCUCUGGGCCUGGGAGUGUCACAUUCUCUCUGUGUAUGAACUGAAAGUGGAGAGGGUACAGAAGGGUCAGACAGACAUCCAUACAACCCUGCUUUCCUCUGUGUCAUGGGACUUUUGUACACAAUUGGCAAUUACAGAUGUAGCCCUGAGACUCACACCAAGCUUCUGACCUGUUGUCACACACUAUUUUAUGCAGUAUGUCAUAUCCAACAUGACUGUAAUGUCUUCUGUCUUACUCACAUCCAGCUCUGUCUCCUGCUUUUUUUAACUUCUCUCCCAGGAAUUUCUCUUAGGCAGUCUUUUCUUCCAUUAUUCAGACUCAAAUCACUUUUCACCACUGUUUUUUCCACAUCAAAGCCUGUAGCCUCACCCCCUUUGCACUUAGGCCUCCCAAAAGCCUGGAAAGCUUCUGAGGAAGCUGGUCUCUGUGGAGCUGGGGCAAUGAGCUGGGGUGGCUGAACACGUUCCUGUUAUUGAAAGCAAACAGACCUGUCCGCGCUUUUCAUUCCCUCCCCCCAGGGAUUUGGCUGGGCUAUCUCCCUGCCAGUUCACUGUUUUCCCUGUCUGACAGUGUUUGCUGUGGGCAGUCAUGCUUGGCCAGAGGAUAUGCUCCAUGGCUCUGCUCAGGCAAGCCUGUCUCCCACAUGUUUGGGGUAUGUUGUGUGAAGAAUAUCAGACCUCUGCUGGAGCUACUGGGUGGCUCCCUGAGAGAGAUGCUGGGAGUCAGCACAGGCACACCCUGCAGUGCCCACUGUGGGCUGUAGUGAUGCCAGAGCCUCCCUUCUGGGCUGUAAAGGUUUUGCAAACAGCCCUUCUGUGUGGUUCUCUGUGCAGCACAUCUGGCUUGCUGUAUUCCAGAGACAUUGCUGGGCACAACCCUCGCCUCACCUGAGAGCUUUGGAGGCCCAGUGACAUGUGUUACACUUGUCUGAGAGCUCAGCAGUGACCUCUUUGUGAUGCUGGCUGAUCUCUCCAGGGCUGGAUCUGUUUCUCUCAAUAAUUUCGCUUGCACUCUGGAAUCCCACAAGCAGCUCUUGUUUUUAAUCAGGGGCUCCAUAAUGUCUCCAAAGAUAUGUGUAGUGUCAGAGAUCUUACAUCUGAAACAUAAGGCUCAAUUGCCUCAUAUUUUUAUUUUUGGUUUUGAGCACAAUUACUGAGUCCCUCUACAGUCUUAUUGUGUCCAGGUCAGGUCUUCAAAUAACUUUCUUGAUGGUUCAAUUGCUCCAUGUAUUAUUUUGAAAAUAAUAAGUGACUCUCUCAAGCCACUUCUUGUCCUUUUAGUGCAGUGAGACAGUGAAAAGUUUUACUUCCAUGUUUUCUCACUCUUUCAUGGCCAACUACACGUAUCAAUUCCCUGCUCAUGUAAACACUUCAAACUGGCUUUUUGAGCUCUCAGUGGCUCAAGUCCCUUCUGGCAGUUCAUCUGCUCCAUUCCCAGAGUGUCUUUUUGUGUUUACUGCACUGGCUGAUGACAUAAACUCUGUCCCACCUCUCAGAAAGGGACAGUUUAUCUCCAGCUGCAGCUCAUCCCUUUGGAACAGCACUGAUACUGAUGUUAAUAAGAGAGAAAUCCUGUUUGAGUCUGUAGCAAACAUCCCUCAGGUAGCUGCAGCAAAUGAGGAAAUAUUUAAAGGUGAGCUAUGUCCUAAUAUCAUCUGUUGGAAAGGACUUUAUGUUUCAUAUAUUUCAUGUUAUUGCUCUGAAAGACUAAAUGCAGGAGCACAUUUCCAAUUGAAAUGCUUGUGGAAAUUAAAUCCAUGUUUAAAUGAAUUUGAAACUUUUAAUGCAAAAUUGAGCACUUAGAAAUUUUGCAUCAACUCCAACUUAAUUAAAAUUAAUAAGGUUUCAGAGAGUUUUAGUUGGGAUAGAUGAAGAAAGAAUUUGGCCUUAAAUGUGUAAUUAAAAUACAAUUACAUUGGAAGGAAGUAAUUACUGAGGUUGUACCUCAAAAGCAUACCUAAUGGGCUAUCAGGAGAAAAGGUUUAUGUGUUUGGUUCACCAGCUAUAUAAGAUAUAAAAGGAUGUAGUCACUGAAAGAGAGAGAUAUUUGCAAGAUCAUUUAGGUAGAUAGUAGCAGCUCUUUUAUGGUCAAAUCAUUCUGGCUAUGUUUAGGAAGGGGACCACUUCAUCUUAGUUUGGGGUGCACAAGCACCUCCAUAAGUUUUCCUUCUGACGCAUUUAAUUGUUUCCCAGCCCUCUCAUGGGCUGCGAGAGAAGGAAGUGUUCUCCAACCAGUGUCAGACAUCUCUGGAUGAGGAAAAAGUUAGUGCUGAAAGACCUCAGCUGUCUGAUUUUAGGAACUCUUUGACAAAGGACUUCUCAAAGUGAAAGACCUAAUCUGACCCUGGUUAAAAUCAUGGAAGGAAUGUGGAAUCUCUUGGUCCCUGCACCAGUCUGUAUGAAGCCCUGAGCAUAGAACCAGAACUGUGGUGUCAGUUUUUCAUAAACUUAAACUUGGUGGUUUUUUUACAUUGUUGCCCUGGCACACCUAUGAAAAAUGAUUUAAUAAAUAUGACAUUCCACAACAAGCACAAAACAGACAGCUUUGGGAGUUAGAGCUGAAGUGUGAGCAUUAAAAGUGAAGCCACUUUGUACUUUGUGGAGACAGAACAAUCCAUCAUGCGUUUGAUUUGUUUUGUUUGGAUUUUUUUUUUUGGGGCGGGAGGGAUGUAAUGUGAUAGGUUUUGGUUUUGGAGUCAGUGGAGAGGUUUCUGUUGGCUAUACUGAAGUUUGGAUUAGGUUCAUGGAAAUAAAUGAAUUCUAUUUUAUCAUAAACAAGAUAGAUAGUCAAAGAUGCAAGGUUCAUAGGCCCAUUUGGAUCAGCUCCUUUCCAAAGGUUCAGAGUCAUUGAUUGCAUCGAAUGGCCUGGAACACCUGGGUGUAACCUUGAGUUUAAAUCACAUCAAGAUGAUUUGAUUGUAAGUUCUUGAUUUAUACUUGUUUCUUCACAUAACUUUGUGAGGUGUUAAAAUGUGAUUUUUACAAGUUCAGUGUGUUUUGUAGAAUUGUGGGAGGGGAAAUGUGUGGUGUCCCCUGUGGUACAGUAUCAAACACAGUGCAAGUAGCCUGAUGUUUUAAUCAACAGAUACAUGCCCUUGGCAAAGAAGUGAUUUUAGCACUUAGUGAAAUGCACUCUGCUGAACUGUUGACAUUCAGUUCACAGUCAAACUUUUAUUGGUGAAGAGAAACACACCCUUUGUAUUGAAGAUUUAGCUCAGUAAAAUAAAAUCUGGUGACAGAAAUUUCUCUCCACCCUUACACUCCCUGCAGCAAUGUUUGUUACAUGGAUAAGAAACAUGUAGAGCUUGACUUAACCUUUUUUACACCCAAACCAGAUGUCUUCAGUAAUACUCAACCAGGAUAUUUUUCAACUUUUUAAAAUUUUUAUUUUAAUUAUUUCUAUUUUUAAUGCAAUACUGAAGAUGUGGGAUUGUCAGUGUUGUGGUACUUCAUCACCUAAAAUUGUUUCCACAUUAGAGCUCCCAAAGAAGCCUGAGAAGGGGUGUUUGAUAUAUGACAUUAUCAGCACUUGUCAACAGUGCAGGACUGAGUGAACUCAGCCUGCUGUGGCUGCAAUAGCACAAGCACUUCCUUCCCUUAAAUAGUUUCUUUCUCUUCCCCCAGGUCUUGUAGCAGCUCACACCUGAAAAAGCAGCCUUUAUAUCUUCCUCAAGCUAAUUAAAUUCAGAUUCAAGCAGAGGAGCAAUAUUGCUAAGUGUCCUUUUGUUAACUUGCUGGUCUCUGAAGAUUCUCACAUUUCAACCUAAGUGGCAGCAGAGUUCUCAGCCAUGGAAACCACAUCUGGAGAAAUCCCACCUCUCAAAAUCACAGAGCUCUUAAGGAUUUACAUGGGAUGACAUUAACUACUAGGGUCAAAUAAAUGUACUGAAAACAUACUCCCAAUCACAAAGGUCACUGAAAAGCCACUCAGGUUUGGCUUAUGCUGAGUUCUGCCUUUUUGUACCCAUACGAAACAUUUUUUAAUGCUUUCCAGAGGAUAAAUUCGUCAAAGCAACUAAUGGCCUGAAGUACACUGCUGAAGCAGGGAAAGACUGUGCUUAUGUCCACACAGCAUCAAUAUCAGCAUAUUUUCAGUGUGACUUACCUCCUGCAAUCUUCCCCCAGAGGCACUGGUGGAGCAGGUGCUGUCAAAUGGAGAGCAUCAUGAUGGCUGAGCCCUGUUGAAAGUGUCCAGAGGCUGGAUGGAGCUUAUUCACCUGUAUUUUACACCAAGUUUGGAACAAUGUGGUUUAAUCGAUAUGCUGGUUUUCAGCCAAAUCUUGGACUCGAUGAUCUUGGAGGUCAUUUCCAACCCUAAUGAUUCUAUGAAUAUAGGUAUCCACUGACAGACAUCUGUGUCAUUCAGUUUACAGGAUUGUCCAAGUGCUAGAGAUUUAUAUUUUGUAUCCUUUACAAAAUUAAAAGACAUCUUUAGUCUAAGUGUUUAAUUUGUAACCCCUGUAACAAGACUUGUAUGAGUUAUGUCCAAGAAUAUCAGGAUUAGGCAACAGUUUUGCACAGGGAUGUGGGAUAAUGCUUACUUCCUUUUUUCCUUUUUUUCUUUUACUCAUUAAAGGUGAAACACAAAUCUGUGCAUUUUUAAGCAGCUCUCUGAAAUUUCAUGUCUUUAUAAUUACAAUCUAUCGUACUGAAAACGAAAUCUGAAAUUAGACAUAAAAAUCACAAUAUUACCAGUCCUGGAUUUAAGGCUUAUAUUGCUGUGAAUUUCUAUGAAAAUAUUUAAGAAUCAAUUUAAAUGCUAAUGGACUUGUUUGCCAUAAAACUAGGCAAUAGUCACACUCAAUAGCUGCUUCAGAGCCAUAGUAUGGGUCUUCCCUUCACUGGACUUCACUUGUGACA